GCUUAAAUAGCUUAUUUAGAGUACAAUAUUGAAGAUAUUGGGGUGGUUUAGCUUAGCCUUUAAGUA
rnacentral:tRNA from 1 species